GAUGAACGCUAGCGGCAGGCUUAAUACAUGCAAGUCGAGGGGUAGUUUAGAUUCGUCUGAAUUAGACCGGCGCACGGGUGAGUAACACGUACGCAACCUACCCUGUACUGAGGCAUAGCCCCGGGAAACUGGGAUUAAUUCCUCAUAGUCCUUUAGAAUGGCAUCAUUCUUUAGGUAAAGCUCAGGCGGUACAGGAUGGGCGUGCGUCUGAUUAGGUAGUUGGUAUGGGUAACGGCCUACCAAGCCUGCGAUCAGUAGCUGGCGUGAGAGCGCGACCAGCCACACUGGAACUGAGACACGGUCCAGACUCCUACGGGAGGCAGCAGUAGGGAAUAUUGGGCGAAUGGGCGCAAGCCUGACCCAGCCAUGCCGCGUGAAGGAUUAAGG
rnacentral:rRNA from 1 species